rnacentral:lncRNA from 1 species
AGAGGUGUCCUCGAUGACAGCACUCAUGGGGAGCUGGGCCUGAAGCCACAGGAAGGGGCUGAGAUGGAAAUGGGAAGAAAGGCCUCCACCAUGAAAUCUUCCUGAACACUCCAGCUGUCAGUGGCCAACUCUCCUCUGAGCAUCUAGAAAACAAAUUCUUCCUUUUCUAUGCGAGAACUCACUCAUUACCAUGAGGAUGGCAUCAAGCCAUUUGCCUCCAACACUGGGGAUCAAAUUUCAACGUGAGGUUUGGUGGGGUCAAAUAUCCAGACCAUAGCACCAUAUGGUUAGCUACUUUGGUUAAGGUAACAUGCCCAAUGUCAGCCCAGCUCACAAGUGGCUCCCAGCAUUCUAACUCAAGGACCUAUGCCCUAACUGCUACUCUGUGCCAUCUCUCACCAAAAUCUGGUAUAAGGCAAGGCUGCACAAAGGACUGGUUGUAGCCCUGAGCUGGGGAAGAGAUGAUUAGUUAUAAAAGUGAGAUCAAGCCACAAACUAAAGUUGCAUCAAGCUUAUUGAGAGGACUAAAAGAGAAAAAGUAUGUGAGAGCUCUUCAUACCCUCUACACCUAUGAAGAUAUUACAUGUUAAGGACAUUGAGCAGAACGUCUGACUCGACAAUGCCUGGGUUUAAUAACCUCCACUUUGGCAGUCAACAACAAAAGAAUGCCCAGUGGCAAGGGCAGGUCCCUCUGCUGGGAGCUGGAGAAUCAAGGAAAAAGCUAUCUUAGAGACAAAGACAGAGUUUGUUUCCUGCACUAAAGAGACUGGAAAGUGUGUAACCACAUUUGCCAGACUCCUUUGCAGCUAGGGUUCAUGUGAGACCCAGUUCCACCAAGAGAAUCCUCACAUGAACCUGGGGAGGGGAUGGAGAGAGGAGCUAUAGAGUUAAAAAAAAAUGUAAAGCAGUGGUAGGCCAAG